rnacentral:rRNA from 1 species
UACGUAGGUGACCAGCGUUGUCCGGAUUUACUGGGCGUAAAGAGCGCGCAGGCGGUCGUUCAAGUCGAGUGUGAAAGCCCCCCGGCUCAACUGGGGAGGGUCAUUCGAUACUGAUCGACUCGAAGGCAGGAGAGGGAAGCGGAAUUCCCGGUGUAGUGGUGAAAUGCGUAGAUAUCGGGAGGAACACCAGUGGCGAAGGCGGCUUCCUGGCCUG